rnacentral:lncRNA from 1 species
AGUAUUUCAUAAAAAAGGAGCUAUUCAUUUCAGGCAAAUGUCAAGGUGCAGCUAAGGACCUAGAUAAAUAUCCUCUGUCUUGGUGAGAAAUGGGUCUCGGUAGAAACCCCUGAGUGCAGCUGACUGCCUUCACUAAAGUUCAGCCACUGGUAGCCGUAAGGCUAGCCUUGUGCACUGGGUACAUCAUCCUGCAGUACAAUUACAGUGAUUAAACUUUUCUCCCUGUCAAUGGGAGGCAGAGAAAAGGAGGCUCUAAGCAGAUGGAAAUUUCCUUAAUCCCGUUAACUGAAGCUCCGUCUUUUUCUCAAAAACAAUGACCUUCCCAGUGGGAUUUUCUGAAGUAAAGCAUCUCAAAGCUUGUUUGUGUAUUUUUUUUUUCCCAAUUCCUUCCCACAAAAUAAAGCUGAACGGCCAUGCAUGGAGACAGGCAGGGCAGGGGCUGCCCAGCCAGCUGGACAGGAGGCACGCCAGGAAGUCCAGUAAAUGCUUCUAAGCUGAGUUAAGGUAGUGCCUGGUUCCUGAAUCAUUUGUGGUGCACCUGCCAAAGAAAAUGUUAAAUGGAUAGAUGUGAUAACUAAUGCUCAGAGUAUAUCAAAUAUAUCCCUUCUACAGUAUACAUGACCUUCACAUUCUGUACACGAGUAUUUGCUCCAUCCAGUUACCAGAGAUAUUUAAAUUUAGAAAGAAAGUAUCCUUCAAGCUGGAGGGCAUUCAUGGAGCACCCAGAGGUGUUGGAACAUUCAGUGAGUGGCUGCAAAUAUUCCUUGGGAAGCAGUACAGGGUUUGGUGUAAGAUUAAAAUGAGUAAGCCAUCAGGUACGUGGUGUGUCAGCAUGGUGGAAAACACCUGCUCUUGUUCAGAUCAGGCAGAGGCAGUGAGCAGAGCUGAGGUGAAGGGUCUGGGAAGUUUGCUGUCUUUUCUAGCAGCAGCUGAUCCCUGUGUCAGUGGCAGCAGCAGUUUGUUGCUCGCAGGACUCUGCUUCAAUAGGCAGCUAUGUGUUUUUCCUUUCUCAGAGCCCGUCCUGCCCACAGCAGUCUUCAAAGGGUUCAGAAUCCCAGACACAAAAGCAAUUUAAUAGUGGGUCAUCCCUCACCUCCUGACACUUGCACCUCUUGAGAAACCUCAAUGUCUUCCUGAGUAAUUGCAAUACAAGUCCCUCCCAGCCAGUGGUAUUUAGAAUAAAUUAUGAUGCCUGGCCUUAUUAACUCA